GAAUUGAAAGUUUACCUUCUCUUGUACAUAGACUUCCUAGUAACAGUCAUAUGUCAAUCUAAUUUCCAAAGUUUGAAAAUGCUUACUUUUGCAAACUCAAACACUUAAUUUACCCAUCUUAAUUAAGGCUUAAGUAAAUUUAUGUAGGCAGUUGUUACAUAGGAGAUAUAAUCAUAAAUUUUGAGGAUCAAUGCAUAAAUGUAAUGGAAUAAGACUGGAUUAGAGUAAGACUAUGCAUACUGAAAGUCAUAUUGUAAAAGGGUUUGUUUUCUUGAAGUUUUACUCAUAUUCUUAUAUUCAUUAAAUAAUCGGAAAAUAUUUUUGAACCUAUUAACUCAGCAUAAUUUCAUUUGACUUCUCAGUAAUCUUGAUACUAAAAGUAAUAAAAGAACGAUUCAUAUAAUGUUAAAGAUAUUAAGACUGUUUCAGCAAAUUGUAAAGCUUUCACAGUUAACAGUUACUCUUAGGGUCACUGUUUCUGAACACCAAAUUAAAACUGACAUGUUAUUCUGCAUUUGUGGAUGCAACAUUUCCCAUUGCAGCCACAUCCUUUUAUUUCUGCAGUUUAUUUUUAAAGAUGACAAGGCCUGACACUAUUACUGAGGCUAUGGAACAUUUACAAAAAGGAACCUAUCAUGACUGCCCUCUGAAAGACUCAACAAGCAGCUGAAAGAGUCAGAUUCAGAUAUUUGCACCAACUCAAUGGACAGAGGCUGCUAACCCCUGUGGUUGAAUUAUGGAAAAGCUGGAAGAAGCUGAGGAAGAGGGCUACCCUGUAGGGUGACCAGCAAUUUCAAUUAAACUGGAUUCCUGAGAAUUCUCAGACACUGGACAGCCAACCAGGCAGCAUAUACCAGCUGAUGUGAGGCUCCCAACACAUAUACAGCAGAGGACUGCCAUGUCUGGGUUCAGUCAGAGAAGAUGUGCCUAAUCCACAAGAGACUGGAGGCACCAGAGAGUUUAGAGGUCUGGUGGGGUGGGGUAGGGGUGGGGAUAUCCUUAUGGAGACAGGGGGCAUGGUGGAGGUAUGGAAUAUGGAACAGUCAUAGGGUAGACCAGAAGGGGAAUAAAAUCUGGAGUAUAUGUUCUUUUGUAAUUGGGUUACUUCACUCAGAAUGAUAUUUUCUAGUUCUAUCCAUUUGCCUAAGGUGGGGGCAGGGACCAGGAAAGGGGAUAACAUUUGAAAUGUAAAUAAAGAAAAUAUCCAAUAAAAAAAGAAAAGAAGAAAUAAAUGUAAGGGGCUGGAGAGAUGGCUUAGCAGUUGGGAGUGCUCAAUGCCCUGCCAGAGGUCCCAGGUUCAGUUCUCAGCACCCACAUAGGAGCUCAAUACUGUAGCUCCAGGUCCAACCAUCAAAUGCUCUCAUACAGACAUAUUCAGGGGAUUUUUGGUGAGGAAACUAGAGAAGGGGAUAGCAUUCGAAAUGUAAAUGAAGAAAAUAUUUAAUAAAAAAAGAAACUGCAGGAAGGAAGUUGCAAUAGGUUUUGCUCACACUGCUUAAUGCAGGUUAUUAUAAAUUACUGGUUAGUCUGCUGAGUAUGUUUGCCAAUGUGAAAUGCAGAGCUCAGGUAUUAGUGUAGGCCUCUUACAGCUUUUAAAACUGUGUGAGAGGUAGGAUGUUUUUGCAAUCCGGUGUAACAGUACUGGUAGUGAGUUUUAGUGUGGUAACAAUUUAAGAUGAAUUUGGGCAGCAAAUAGUGGAGUCAGGUAUAUUGUAUAUAGAUGAAAUCAGUAUUUAGGAAAAAGGAAAGUGUUUUUCACAGUGAGCUUUAUAUCAUGGAUUUUGACAAAUUCAUUAUGUAUUAAUUGCUUUUUCCAGUUUUAAGGAGUUGAUAUUUAAAAGUUGCUUUUUCAUCUUUCAAUGACUCUUUAAGUAAAUGCAUACCAAUCAGCAUGUUAGUGUCUCUGAGAAGGAGGGAUUUAGAAGUUCUCAUUGUUGAAUAGCCUUUUCUUCAGCAAGACUUCCAGUGUCUACACAUGUUUUGACAAACCGAUGCAUUGUUUGCAAUGUUGCAAUACAGAGCACAAAUUCACAGCAUACGGUUGUGGGUGUUGAUGUCUCCCUUACUUAUAUUGUGUUACUUUCUUAGACUGCUAGAACCUCUGACACCUACAAUGAGGUUGCAUGAUACCUUCAGGAAGGUGUCAUGAUUGGGUCAAAUUUGGCUUGGUUAUUCUCACUACUCUGUUACCUAUGAUCAGGUGUGGCACAGGUCUGUUUGGUUCUGAAGCAAGUGGACCUAGUCAUAGGCCAUGGCACUGUGCUUUUAUUGAUCAUGUAUGCUUACUGUCACCUACUUUUUACAGGCAUCAUAAUUAAAGCUAGACAAUUUCUUUGAUGGAAAAGAGACUUUCCAAUAGAAAAUGAAAUAUUGAAAACAAUAUCUAUUUUUUCACUUUCAACUUUUGAUGAUGCUUUUUCAUGGUAUCUGUUGAAUGUUACUGCCAUUAUAGUGAUUUUCAUUAAACUCACUUUGAAAGAACCUUGUUUAUUAGCUUAUUUAGCUCUCUAAAUAGUUUGUGAGCGAUGGUAAAUUCCAUAGGAGGGUCUGUCUGUUCUGAGGCAUAAACUUUCUGUAAGGGAAAAAUGGGAUUGCAAACUUGUAUAACCACUCUGGAAAUAAAUCUGGAAGUUCUUCAGAAAAUUGGAAAGAGUUCCAACUGAAGAUCCAGCUGUACAGCUCCUGAGCAUAUACCUAAAAGAUGUUCCAACAAAUCACAAGGACACCUUGUCCUUGUUUUUAAUUGCUGAAUAGUAUUCCAUUGUGUAAAGGAACCACAUUUUCUAUGUCCAUUAUUCAGUAGGAGGAUAGGUUGUUUUUUUUGUUUCUGGCUAUUC
rnacentral:lncRNA from 1 species